AGAGUUUGAUUAUGGCUCAGGACGAACGCUGGCGGCGUGCCUAACACAUGCAAGUCGAGCGAGGAGAUCCUCGGGAUGAUCCUAGCGGCGGACGGGUGAGUAACACGUGGGCAACCUGCCUCAUAGAGAGGAAUAGCCUUCCGAAAGGGAGAUUAAUACCUCAUAACAUUGCAGUUUCGCAUGGAACAGCAAUUAAAGGAGUAAUCCGCUAUGAGAUGGGCCCGCGGCGCAUUAGCUAGUUGGUGAGGUAACGGCUCACCAAGGCGACGAUGCGUAGCCGACCUGAGAGGGUGAUCGGCCACAUUGGGACUGAGACACGGCCCAGACUCCUACGGGAGGCAGCAGUGGGGAAUAUUGCACAAUGGGGGAAACCCUGAUGCCAGCAACGCCGCGUGAGUGAUGACGGCCUUUCGGGUUGGUAAAGCUCUGUCUUCAGGGACGAUAAUGACGGUACCUGAGGAGGAAGCCACGGCUAACUACGUGCCAGCCGCGGC
rnacentral:rRNA from 1 species